rnacentral:lncRNA from 1 species
CAGCUGCUCUUGAUGAAAACGGCAGUGGCUCUGAAAAGAGCCUUUAGAUCGACCACUUAAAAAUAUACCUUAGGCCCGCUCCCCGCGGAUGCGGCUGACCAACUGGAUGUCCUUGGGCAUGAUGGUCACGCGCUUGGCAUGGAUGGCGCACAGUAAAUGCAGGCCACAGUCUGCCAGCUGCCCAACCAUUCAGGCUUUUCAUUAUUAUAGGAAGCAUCUGGCCAAGGACCACCAACAUCUUCCUGUCCUGCCCCUGAAGCUGUGCCUAGAGGAGGUCUCUCAUAGAUGCCCACGUUCUCUUGACAAGAUAUUUGGGGAGGACCCCUGGCUACUGUCACUGCUGCCAUGCCUGCCAGGAGGAGGCACCUUCCUGACACUUCACUGCUGCUGCUCAGCAGGCCUGCCAAGUGGUUCUGCUGUGUUCUAGGAGAAACAGGAAAAAUGCCUCUCCUCCCACUUUGCACUGUGCUUUGUCACCUGGGCCCUAAAACACCAUUGCCUGCCCCUGACGCCCCAACAGCUCCCUCUACCAAACUGAGGCUGGGCUGGGAGACUAGGCACUACACCAUUCCAUUCUCCCUUCUCUUCUUCCAUUCUCCCUUCCCUCCCUCUCUUCUUCCCACUGCCUCCAAGACACCUGUACUGGAACUUUGUCCAUUCUUACACUCAC